UCGUGGUAGACAUAAAGUACAAAAUGAAGCAAAUUAUAAUAUUUUUAUUCGUUAUUUCAUUACUGAAUUCUUGUGUAUUAGGUGAUAACUUAGGUGCUGGACAAGGUGGUUCUCAGGGUGGAAAUGAUGCCGUGACGAAUUCUUUUGCAAUGUUGAGGAAUUUCUUUCCAUCACAAUAGUUACAUAAAUUAAUAUUAAACAAAUGCUUUUAA